rnacentral:tRNA from 1 species
GGAUGGUAGCUCAGUGGUAGAGCGCUUGCCUUGCACGCGGGGAGGCCCUGGGUUCAAUCCUCAGCACCA